CUGGUCUGCUUCAUUACUAUUGCCGCUAUUGGAGUAUCAGCCUACAGACUCGUUUUUUUUGGUAAAGAAACUCCCAACUGUCCCCCAUGGGAACAGUUAUUUAGGGGGUGUCAUAUUGCUUAUGUCUUAGGUAACUCGGAUUAGCUGAGUUAACAACCUUGGUACCUUCCAUAACCGAAAUUCUAACCUGUUGGGGUGGUCCAGCCUUUCUAUAGAAAAGCACCAAGGAGAGGAGCACAGUGUGACAUUUAAAAUCCUUUGGAGAGGGGAAAGAAGGAAAGCUAGGCUAUCCGAUGCAUUUGUAGCAUACUAGUACAUUUGUUCCGAUUCCUGAUUUACUCCUUUGAAUGUUCUUUGGCAUUAAAAGGCUAUUUGGGACAUAGCACUACUAAGUCUUGUACUGGAUUAGAGACUAUACCUGUCUACAUUAUUAAAACAACUGCCUACUUUUCUUUUUCCACCUACUUUCUGCGUUUUCGCAAGUAAUUACUCUUAUCAGCUGAAAUUCAUUUCCUAUCCCUUUUAAUUUUCAUUAAAAGGGAUGACAUAUUUAAAGGCAAGAAGCUAUGCCUUUUUUUUUUCCAACCAGGGAUUCAACCCAGGGGUGCUUUAACCACUAAGCCACAUCCCUGUCCCUUUUUAUUUUGUAUUUUGAGAAACGGUCUUAUUAAGUUGCUUAGGGCCUUGCUAAAUUGAUGAGGCUGGCUUUGAACUUGUUAUCCUCCUGCUUUGAUCUCCCAAACCUCUGGGAUUACAAGAGUGUGCCACCAUACCCAGCAAAUAUGCCUCGUUUUUAAUCCUGCUCACAUCUUCCUACCUCUAUUUUUCUCACCUUCACUGAAACCCAAAUUUGUGAAAUAACAAAACUGAUUGCAAACAGAAUGCCUAAAUGGCUGGGAUGCAGUUAUAUAGUUUCUAUUGCAAAUAAUCCCAGAUUGUAUAUUAUCAAAUCAAUGGAAAGUAUUCUUGGAUCUGGGACCAAUGCUAAUUCCUGGUCUCAUUCUAUCUAAACUUAAUAGCAAACAGUAUGAAAGACUUCUAGACUCUACUGUAACUUAUCUCUUUUUUUACUUUUCCAACUCCAGUGCUAGAACAACUUAAAAUGCACCCAAAAAAAUAGCACAAAUAGCAGGAGGAGGUCCAGAAAUGGGUAAUUCUUACAUUCCCUUAAUUUCAUUAGCCUCUGUCCUCUUUGGCCUUCAGACUCCGCUCUCCCCACCCAUUCCCCACCAAUAUACACUGGGGAUUGAACCCAGGGAUGCUCUUCUACCACUGACCCCAAUCCUUUUUAUUUUUUUAUUUUGGAAUAGGGUCUUGCUAAACUUCUGAGACUAACCUGGAACUAGCUAUAAUCCUUCUGCCUCAGCCUCCCAAGUUACUGGAAUUACAGGUGUAUGCCACAGUACCCCAGCUGCUUUCAGGCUUUUCAAUAAUUGUCUUGCAUAUUCUCAAAAAAGCCAUUUUCCUGACCCCUAAAGAUGUGAGUAAAAUGCCUACUAAGUUAUUCAUCAUGAUGCCUGUACCUCAAUGAAGAUUCUUUAAUUCCAGUUCCAAGUAACUGUGAGGAUCUAGGAAAGAGAAUGAAGACUUAAUAAGGACAUGAUAACUGUCUUAAGUAUGUAAAGGGCUGUCAUGUAAAAGAGUCAGCAUAUUUAGGAAUAUCUAUAAUAUAGAAGAACCAGGAAAUGAAAGAUCAGUGGAAUGAAUUUAAGAUUUUUCUCGGGCUGGGGAUGUGGCUCAAGCGGUAGCGCGC
rnacentral:lncRNA from 1 species